rnacentral:sRNA from 1 species
AAUCGUUAUGUGCCACGUCGA